rnacentral:rRNA from 1 species
AUUGCCUACGGGGCGCAGCAGUAGGGAAUUUUCGUCAAUGGGCGCAAGCCUGAACGAGCAAUGCCGCGUGAACGAGGAAGGUCUUCGGAUCGUAAAGUUCUGUUGAAGGGGAAAAAGAGCGGAGAGAGGAAAUGAACUCCGAUUGAUAUUACCCUUCGAGGAAGUCACGGCUAACUACGUGCCAGCAGCUGCGGUAAUACGUAGGUGGCGAGCGUUAUCCGGAAUGAUUGGGCGUAAAGGGUGCGUAGGCGGCCUGCUAAGUCUGGAGUGAAAGGUACCGGCUCAACCGGAGAAUUGCAUCAGAA